AGCGAACGCUGGCGGCAGGCUUAACACAUGCAAGUCGAACGGACCCUUCGGGGUUAGUGGCGGACGGGUGAGUAACACGUGGGAACGUGCCUUUAGGUUCGGAACAACACAGGGAAACUUGUGCUAAUACCGGAUGUGCCCUUCGGGGGAAAGAUUUAUCGCCUUAGAGCGGCCCGCGUCUGAUUAGCUAGUUGGUGGGGUAAAGGCCUACCAAGGCGACGAUGAGUAGCUGGUCUGAGAGGAUGGCCAGCCACAUUGGGACUGUGACACGGCCCAAACUCGUACGGGAGGCAGCAGUGGGGGAUCUUACGCAAUGGGCGAAAGCCUGACGCAGCCAUGCCGCGUGAAUGAUGAAGGUCUUAGGAUUGUAAAAUUCUUUCACCGGGGACGAUAAUGACGGUACCCGGAGAAGAAGCCCCGGCUAACUUCGUGCCAGCCGCCGCAGUAA
rnacentral:rRNA from 1 species